CCGAUGCAGAGCUGGCAGCAGAAAUGGCCGCCGAUAGCUACGCCGAUGAUGAGGAUGGUGACGACGAAGUCUUUGACGAACACGGAGAUGAUGACGCAUUCCUGGCAGCCGCAGGGCCACAGGCAGAUGGACAACAGCAACCGGGUCACGCCGCCGCAGGUCCCGCCGCCGCAGGUCCAGCAGCAGAACCGUGUUGCAUUUGCAUGGCGAGCCCCAAGGACACAAUACUACUGCCGUGCGGGCAUGUCUGCGUGUGUUCAACAUGUGCAGCCCUUCUCGAAGCCCAAGGACUUGACAAUGAACCCGAGGGCGUCUAUUUGUGCCCCGUAUGUAGGACACGGGUUACUUCGCGACAUCGGCUGUUCUGCGCCUGAAAAAAUUGACUGGAAAUGGCUUUCUAUUUCCUAUUAUUUUUACAUCUACUUUCAUUUUUCAUGUAUUUUUCUUAUAAAUUGACUAAAUAAACAGAUUGUACCUUUGA